ACUAUAAAAUGUUUUCAAGGUCCUGCUAAGUAGUGCAGGCUAUCCUGGGAUUUGCCCAGGCCAGCCUCAAAAUCCUACGUAAUCAUAAUUCACACUUGGAAAACCGAGUCGCAAGCAGCUGAAGUAAUAUUCCCAUAUUUAUCAAGUUAGUAUGAGUAAGGACCCUGGACUUGAACUCAGGGCUUUCUGGGUGGCCACCUGGUGACACAGAAGCCACUGGAGGUGUUCCAGAUUAUCCCGAGGCCAGCAUGUAUGGGCAUGUAUGGCUAAGGCUACGCUACAAAGAGGCCGUCCGCUCUGAUUCACAGGUGAACUCACCUUGCCUUAUCUUCUGUGAGGUAACAAGUGGACAAAUACCUUCAGACGGCUCCACAUGACACAUACAAACAAACCAGCUAUGGCAUGCGGAGCCGGGCAGACUAGAGCACCGGCUCUCCCCACUCUCUUACACAAAGCUCUUUUUGUGACAUCACAGUGCUGCGUCAGCGGAGACACUCUCUGGAAACAAACUGACACCAUUAAACCCAUCUCCGUAAGUUCUCCUGGCCGCACGGAUGCUCUGAUCUAAGAUCAAAACCUCUCUCUCCUGUUGACUCUGGGGACUUUAAGCCUUUUAUUCGCUUUGCCUCCCACACCUGUAAAAAGCUGGCUUUGUCAAAAGCUCAGAACGCCUGCACACUCAGUUCACAAUUUCUGUUCCUGUGGGCAACCUGUCCCAUUGGUCUCUACUCCUAAGUAAAACUCAAGACGGAUUAGUCUCACUACUGUUUGUUGUUGCUGCUGCUGCUGCUGUUUUGAGACAGGGUUUGGGGUAUACUGGGCGAGCCUGGAACUCGAUAGGGAGCUGACGUGAUCUCCAACUCCUGGUCUUCCAGAAGCUGGGGCUGUAGGAGAGCUCGCCAUACCCAGGGCCUUCCUCCGACAUCUCCACCACUAUGUGACCGGCUUCGAUAGGUGGUUCUGGCUGUCCCGGCACUUCCUGUGAAGACAAGGCUAACGUCAAGCUCGGAGCAAUUCUCCUUCCUUGGCCUUCCGUGCCAGAAUUACAGGUGUGGGACACCA